CUUUCUUCGACAAAAUCAGUGAGCGCUGUCCAAAGAGGACAAUCAACUAACACUGUUGUAGUGACACCUUAUGAACCCCACAAGUCCACCAAGCUGAGCUCCAUUUCAUCAAACGUACAGGAAAAGAUAAUAUCAAUAAUCAUCCACCACUCUGCGGCCACUUGUUGAUCAUACACAUCUCGAUUGCUGACGUGGACUUCCCAAUUUUGCGGCCAACAAAUAGCAGAGCUGCUCCGCGCCUCAUAUUUAUCCCACUUCACCGCUCUCUUCAACUGUCUUGAUCUUGACCAUUCCUUUUUAGGUAAUAGAACGAACGGUCGAGCACUGCAGGAAAAUCGUGGCGGAACUUUCCAGUUUUCACUAUGGGAGUGCCGAGCGACGACGCCGUUGUAAUCCAGAAGGGCAAAGUUCCGCAAGAUCCUCAUGUCAUUACAAUUAAUUGUCCAGAUAAAACCGGCCUCGGGUGCGAUAUUUGCAGAAUAAUUCUUGAUUUCGGACUUUACAUUGCUAAAGGAGAUAUCUCAACUGACGGAAAAUGGUGCUACAUAGUGUUAUGGGUGUUUCCUGGGUCUGGUUCGAUUAUUUUAAGAUGGUCAAAUUUAAAGAACCGCCUAUUAUCUAUAUGCCCCUCAUGUUUAGUGCCAUUUUACUCAACCCAGCAGUCUACAUGCCCUUCAUAUUCGCCAGUUUACUUACUAAAGUUCUUUUGCCUUGACCGCAAAGGAUUAUUGCAUGAUGUUACUCAAGUUCUUUGUGAGCUUCAGCUUACAAUUCAAAGGGUGAAAGUGAUGACAACACCAGAUGGAAGAGUCUUGGACCUCUUCUUUAUAACAGAUAACCUGGAGCUCUUACACACAAAACAACGACAGGAUGAAACGUGCGAACAAUUGUAUACUGUGUUAGGUGAAUCGUGCAUCAGUUGUGAACUUCAGUUGGCAGGUCCAGAGUAUGAAUACCAUCAUGGUGUCUCUUCCUUGUCUCCUGUGGUAGCUGAAGAAUUAUUUAGGUCCAAGCUAUCAGAAGAAGAAACUCGAUCACAAGCCCUUAGCCUAGAUAUGACAAAAUUGAAGAAAGCAAAUGUUAUAAUUGACAAUUCACUAAGUCCAGCUCAUACAUUGCUGCAAAUACAUUGUGUCGACCACAAGGGACUCCUUUAUGACAUAAUGAGAACAUUGAAAGACUGCAACAUGCAGAUAGCUUAUGGUCGAUUCUCACCAAAAUCCAGAGGCUGUCGAGAUUUGGACCUGUUUAUUCAGCAAAAGGAUGGGAAAAAGAUUGUGGAUCCUAAGAAGCAAAGUGCACUGUGUGCCCGUUUGAAAGAGGAAAUGCUUCACCCAUUACGUGCGAUCAUCACAGAUCGAGGUCCAGAUACAGAACUUUUGGUUGCUAACCCUGUUGAGUUAUGUGGAAAUGGAAGACCACGAGUUUUCUAUGAUGUUACACUUGCUCUGAAAGUACUUGGGAUCUGCAUUUUCUCUGUAAGAAACUAUUACCUAAGAAGUUAAGUGAUUCAAAAGCCCAUCAGCAUGUUGUGCUUCCAUGGACUUGUUAAAUGACAGUUGAAGGGGGUUUGGUGCAGCACAUCCUAGCAUAGACCUCUUAUAUAUAUUCCGAAUACUAGCUUCCUAUGCUUGGGCAUUGAUGGCUACCAAACAAUUUCUUCUUCUGUUCUCGCUAAAGGCUGAAAUUGGAAGAUAUUCAACGUCAGAUCGUGAAUGGGAGGUCUACAGAUUUCUUUUAGAUGAAAACUGUAGAUUUCAAUUAUCAAAUAAGUUAACUAGAGAAGACAUUGUAGAUAGAGUUAGAAGAGUAUUAAUGGGUUGGUGAGUUUAUUUA